UACGAAGGGGGCUAGCGUUGCUCGGAAUCACUGGGCGUAAAGCGCACGUAGGCGGAUCGCUAAGUCAGGGGUGAAAUCCUGGAGCUCAACUCCAGAACUGCCUUUGAUACUGGCAAUCUCGAGUCCGGGAGAGGUGAGUGGAACUGCGAGUGUAGAGGUGAAAUGCGCAGAUAUCGGGAAGAACACCCGUGGCGAAGGCGGCUCUCUGGGACGGUACUGACGCUGAGACGCGAAAGCGUGGGGAGCGAACAGG
rnacentral:rRNA from 1 species